rnacentral:rRNA from 1 species
UACGAAGGGGGGCGAGCGUUGUUCGGAAUUACUGGGCGUAAAGGGCGCGUAGGCGGUUCGCUAAGUUGAAUGUGAAAACUCUGGGCUUAACCCAGAGCCUGCAUUCAAUACUGGCGGGCUAGAGUUCUGGAGGGGAUAGGCGGAAUUCCUGGUGUAGCGGUGAAAUGCGUAGGAUAUCAGGAGGAACACCGGUGGCGAAGGCGGCUAGUCUGGAACAGGAGUCUGACGGCUGAGGCGCGAAAGCUAGGGGAGCAA